rnacentral:rRNA from 1 species
GACGAACGCUGGCGGCGUGCUUAACACAUGCAAGUCGAGCGGUAAGGCCCUUUCGGGGGUACACGAGCGGCGAACGGGUGAGUAACACGUGGGUGACCUGCCUUUAGCUCUGGGAUAAGCCUGGGAAACUGGGUCUAAUACCGGAUACGACUCCGCGGUGCAUGCUGUGGGGUGGAAAGCCUUGUGCGGCUGGAGAUGGGCCCGCGGCCUAUCAGCUUGUUGGUGGGUGAUGGCCUACCAAGGCGACGACGGUAGCGCCUGAGAGGCGACCGCCACACUGGGACUGAGACACGGCCCAGACUCCUACGGGA